rnacentral:rRNA from 1 species
GACGAAGGAUGCAAGCGUUAUCCGGAUUCAUUGGGUUUAAAGGGUGCGUAGGCGGAUUUGCAAGUCAGUGGUGAAAUCUCCGGGCCUAACUCGGAAACUGCCAUUGAUACUGCAGAUCUUGAGUACAGAUGAUGUUGGCGGAAUAUGACAUGUAGCGGUGAAAUGCAUAGAUAUGUCAUAGAACACCGAUUGCGAAGGCAGCUGACAAAACUGUAACUGACGCUGAGGCACGAAAGUGCGGGGAUCAAACAGG